CUUGAGGCACUUCUAUCUUUUCUAGUUAUCUUAUCUUCAAGAAAACAAAGUAACUACUGUCUUUUCAUGACUCGUGCCAAAGAGGAAUGUUGUUUAGAUUCAUCUAUGCUCUUUCAUUUCUUUUUAUUGGUGAAUAGUAGUCUGUUGUGAGGAUAUACCAUGUUUUUUUCAUCUAUUCUCUUGCCAAACCAUAUUCUUUCCUUUUUUGGGCAUAUCUUUUCUUUCUUUUGUUAAAUCUAAGGAGUAGAAUAGCUACAUCAAAAGGUGUAAAGGAGAGCUUGCCAUGCUGAACUUACUACCAAACUGAGCUGGGUCCAACGCCUGACAUGCAACAAAGUGAAUCUAUGGACCCCAGCUUGUGGAGAAGUGCCUCAGGACCACCUACCCGGCUGGAGGAGAAGUCUCGGGUCUUCGCGCGCAGCUUAUUGACUUGAGAUUCGGCGAUAUCGGCCCGUUCUUCAGCUUCCUCCAGCUCAUGCUGAGCUUUUCGGAACUUGGACUUGACCUUCACUUGAAGUUUGUCCACCAGAUCCUGUAAUCUCAGCACAUUCUUCCUGUCCUCUUCACUCUUCAAGAGAGAACAUGGGAUGGCAGGUCGCCAGGAGGGGACAGGGCUGUACAAGGUCCCAG